CCUACGGGGGGCUGCAGUGGGGGAUAUUGCACAAUGGGCGCAAGCCUGAUGCAGCGACGCCGCGUGGGGGAUGACGGCUUUCGGGUUGUAAACCUCUUUCGUCGGGGGACAAGGCUCUGCUUGGUGGUGGGGUUGAGGGUACCCGGUGAAGAAGCGCCGGCUAACUACGGGCCAGCAGCCGCGGUACUACGUAGGGCGCGAGCGUUGUCCGGAAUUAUUGGGCGUAAAGGGCUCGUAGGCGGCUUGUCGCGUCUGCUGUGAAAAUGCGGGGCUUAACUCCGUACGUGCAGUGGGUACGGGGAGGCUAGAGUGCGGUAGGGGUGACUGGAAUUCCUGGUGUAGCGGUGGAAUGCGCAGAUAUCAGGAGGAACACCGAUGGCGAAGGCAGGUCACUGGGCUGUUACUGACGCUGAGGAGCGAAAGCGUGGGGAGCGAACAGGAUUAGAUACCCGAGUAGUC
rnacentral:rRNA from 1 species